rnacentral:rRNA from 3 species
ACGAUUGACGGAGCGAAGCGACGUCAAAGCGUAUACAAAGUCGAGUCGGUUUAAGGAUACGUUCGUUGGGUAGGGGAGCGUUCUGUAAGCCUGCGAAGGUGGCCUGUGAGGGUUGCUGGAGGUAUCAGAAGUGCGAAUGCUGACAUAAGUAACGAUAAAGCGGGUGAAAAGCCCGCUCGCCGGAAGACCAAGGGUUCCUGUCCAACGUUAAUCGGGGCAGGGUGAGUCGACCCCUAAGGCGAGGCCGAAAGGCGUAGUCGAUGGGAAACGGGUUAAUAUUCCCGUACUUGGUGUUACUGCGAAGGGGGGACGGAGAAGGCUAUGUUGGCCGGGCGACGGUUGUCCCGGUUUAAGCGUGUAGGUGUGUGUUCCAGGUAAAUCCGGUUCACUUUAACACUGAGGCGUGACGACGAGGCACUACGGUGCUGAAGCAACAAAUGCCCUGCUUCCAGGAAAAGCCUCUAAGCAUCAGGUAACAUCAAAUCGUACCCCAAACCGACACAGGUGGUCAGGUAGAGAAUACCAAGGCGCUUGAGAGAACUCGGGUGAAGGAACUAGGCAAAAUGGUGCCGUAACUUCGGGAGAAGGCACGCUGACACGUAGGUGAAGUGAUUUACUCAUGGAGCUGAAGUCAGUCGAAGAUACCAGCUGGCUGCAACUGUUUAUUAAAAACACAGCACUGUGCAAACACGAAAGUGGACGUAUACGGUGUGACGCCUGCCCGGUGCCGGAAGGUUAAUUGAUGGGGUCAGCGCAAGCGAAGCUCCUGAUCGAAGCCCCGGUAAACGGCGGCCGUAACUAUAACGGUCCUAAGGUAGCGAAAUUCCUUGUCGGGUAAGUUCCGACCUGCACGAAUGGCGUAAUGAUGGCCAGGCUGUCUCCACCCGAGACUCAGUGAAAUUGAACUCGCUGUGAAGAUGCAGUGUACCCGCGGCAAGACGGAAAGACCCCGUGAACCUUUACUAUAGCUUGACACUGAACAUUGAGCCUUGAUGUGUAGGAUAGGUGGGAGGCUUUGAAGUGUGGACGCCAGUCUGCAUGGAGCCGACCUUGAAAUACCACCCUUUAAUGUUUGAUGUUCUAACGUGGACCCGUAAUCCGGGUUGCGGACAGUGUCUGGUGGGUAGUUUGACUGGGGCGGUCUCCUCCUAAAGAGUAACGGAGGAGCACGAAGGUUGGCUAAUCCUGGUCGGACAUCAGGAGGUUAGUGCAAUGGCAUAAGCCAGCUUGACUGCGAGCGUGACGGCGCGAGCAGGUGCGAAAGCAGGUCAUAGUGAUCCGGUGGUUCUGAAUGGAAGGGCCAUCGCUCAACGGAUAAAAGGUACUCCGGGGAUAACAGGCUGAUACCGCCCAAGAGUUCAUAUCGACGGCGGUGUUUGGCACCUCGAUGUCGGCUCAUCACAUCCUGGGGCUGAAGUAGGUCCCAAGGGUAUGGCUGUUCGCCAUUUAAAGUGGUACGCGAGCUGGGUUUAGAACGUCGUGAGACAGUUCGGUCCCUAUCUGCCGUGGGCGCUGGAGAACUGAGGGGGGCUGCUCCUAGUACGAGAGGACCGGAGUGGACGCAUCACUGGUGUUCGGGUUGUCAUGCCAAUGGCACUGCCCGGUAGCUAAAUGCGGAAGAGAUAAGUGCUGAAAGCAUCUAAGCACGAAACUUGCCCCGA